rfam:Ovis aries breed Texel chromosome 14, whole genome shotgun sequence.
UCCCUGAUGGUCCAGCGGUAAGACACUGUGCUCCCAAUACAAGGAGCCCAGGUUCGAUCUCUGGUCAGGGAA